CAUGCAUGUAUCAGUACACGCCUUAACAAGGUGAAACCGCGAACGGCUCAUUACAACAGCUAUAAUCUACUCGAUCUUGACCCAUUACUAGGAUAACUGUGGUAAUUCUAGAGCUAAUACUUGCACCGAAGCUGUUCCCUCACGGGGGCAGUGCAUUUAUUGGAGCAAAACCAGGCGGCUUCGGCCGUUUCUGCUGACUCAGAAUAACUAAGCUGACCGAAUGGGCUUGUCCCGUCGGCGUAUCGUUCGAGUGUCUGCCUUAUCAACUUUCGAUGGUAGUGUACGUGACUACCAUGGUUGUGACGGGUAACGGAGGAUAAGGGUUCGACUCCGGAGAAGGGGCCUGAGAAAUGGCCACUACGUCUAAGGAUGGCAGCAGGCGCGCAAAUUACCCACUCUCGGUUCGAGGAGGUAGUGACGAAAAAUAACAAGGCCGUUCUCUACGAGGCCGGCCAUUGGAAUGGGUACAACUCAAACCCUUUAACGAGUAUCAAUGAGAGGGCAAGUCUGGUGCCAGCAGCCGCGGUAAUUCCAGCUCUCAAAAUGCAUAGAACCAUUGCUGCGGUUAAAAAGCUCGUAGUUGGAUUUGUGCCGGCGCCGUGGUCCACCCUAGCGGGCGGUACUGCGAGCGUCGGCUUUGGGCCGGUCUCCGGGCGGCGCACUUCACUGGGUGUCGUCCGUGGCUGGCUGGUUUACUUUGAGCAAAUCAGAGUGCUCAGCACAGGCGUCUCGCCGGAAUGUUCGUGCAUGGAAUAAUAGAACAGGAUCACGGUCCUCUUUUAUUGGUUUUGUGGACUGAGAUAAUGGUUAACAGAGACGAACGGGGGCAUUCGUAUUGCUGCGUGAGAGGUGAAAUUCUUGGACCGCAGCAGGACGGACUACAGCGAAAGCAUUUGCCAAGCGCGUCUUCAUUAAUCAAGAACGAAAGUCAGAGGUUCGAAGGCGAUCAGAUACCGCCCUAGUUCUGACCGUAAACGAUGCCAACUAGCGAUCCGUCGGUGGCUCCAAGGCCCUGAUGGGGAGCUUCCCGGAAACGAAAGUCUUCCGGUUCCGGGGGAAGUAUGGUUGCAAAGCUGAAACUUAAAGGAAUUGACGGAAGGGCACCACCAGGAGUGGAGCCUGCGGCUUAAUUUGACUCAACACGGGAAAACUCACCCGGCCCGGACACCGUGAGGAUUGACAGAUUGAUAGCUUUUUCAUGAUUCGGUGGUUGGUGGUGCAUGGCCGUUCUUAGUUCGUGGAUCGAUUUGUCUGGUUUAUUCCGAUAACGAGCGAGACUCCAGCCUACUAACUAGUGCGGGAAUUGCCACUGUUCCCUUGCACUUCUUAGAGGGAUUGGCUGCGUCUAGCGGCACGAAACGGAGCAAUAACAGGUCUGUGAUGCCCUUAGAUGUCCGGGGCUGCACGCGCGCUACACUGGCAAAGGCAGCGUGCUUGUCCGUCUCCGAAAGGAGUCGGUAAACCCUUGAAAAUUUGCCGUGAUUGGGAUCGGAAAUUGCAAUUAUUUUCCGUGAACGAGGAAUUCCUAGUAAGUGCGAGUCAUCAGCUCGCGUUGAUUACGUCCCUGCCCUUUGUACACACCGCCCGUCGCUGCCUAGAACUGAGCCAUUUCGAGAAUAUUCGGGAUCGCUGGUUGCGCGCUCUUCGGGGCGUGCCUCCGGCCGGAGAACGAACGUAAUCGCAGUGGCUUGAACCGGGCAAAAGUCGUACCAAAGGUAGCACG
rnacentral:rRNA from 1 species